AGCUCCAAUAGCGUAUAUUAAAGUUGUUGCAGUUAAAAAGCUCGUAGUUGGAUUUCUGUUUUGAGCGUCCGGUCCGCUUUUAAAGUGUGUUACUAGGAUGUUUGAGACAUUUUUUGUGAGGAUGUCCUUCUGCUAUUCAGUUAGUGGUUGGAUAGACUUGCAUCGUUUACUGUGAAAAAAUUAGAGUGUUUAAAGCAGGCGUUUGCUCAUUGAAUACAUUAGCAUGGAAUAAUAAGAUACGACCUUGGUGGUCUAUUUUGUUGGUUUGCACACCAGGGUAAUGAUUAAUAGGGACAGUUGGGGGUAUUCAUAUUUCAGCGUCAGAGGUGAAAUUCUUGGAUCGCUGAAAGAUGAGCUUAGGCGAAAGCAUUUACCAAGGAUGUUUUCA
rnacentral:rRNA from 1 species